rnacentral:rRNA from 1 species
UACGAGGGGAGCAAGCGUUGUUCGGAUUUACUGGGCGUAAAGGGCGCGUAGGCGGCGUGACAAGUCACUUGUGAAAUCUCCGGGCUUAACUCGGAACGGUCAAGUGAUACUGUCGUGCUAGAGUACAGAAGGGGCAACUGGAAUUCUCGGUGUAGCGGUGAAAUGCGUAGAUAUCGCUUGGAACGCCAAAGGUGAAAACAGACAGCUGGGAGUGUGCUGACGCUGAGACACGGAAAGCCAGGGGAGCGAACGGG